rnacentral:rRNA from 1 species
UACGUAGGGGGCGAGCGUUGUCCGGAAUUACUGGGCGUAAAGGGUGCGUAGGCGGCAUGUUAAGUUGGAUGUGAAAUACCCGGGCUCAACCUGGGGGGUGCAUUCAAAACUGGCAAGCUAGAGUGCAGGAGAGGGAAGCGGAAUUCCUAGUGUAGCGGUGAAAUGCGUAGAUAUUAGGAGGAACACCAGUGGCGAAGGCGGCUUUCUGGACUGUAACUGACGCUGAUGCACGAAAGCGUGGGGAGCAAACAGGAUUAGAUACCCUGGUAGUCCACGCUGUAAACGAUGAAUACUAGGUGUAGGGGGUAUGAACUCCCCCUGUGCCGCAGCUAACGCAAUAAGUAUUCCGCCUGGGGAGUACGGCCGCAAGGUUGAA